rnacentral:rRNA from 1 species
GACGAACGCUGGCGGCGUGCUUAACACAUGCAAGUCGAACGAUGAUGCUCCAGCUUGCUGGGGUGGAUUAGUGGCGAACGGGUGAGUAACACGUGAGUAACCUGCCCCCUUCUUCGGGAUAAGCUUGGGAAACUGGGUCUAAUACUGGAUAUUCCGCAAUUGUCGCAUGGUGGUUGUGGGAAAGAUUUUUUGGUGGGGGAUGGGCUCGCGGCCUAUCAGCUUGUUGGUGGGGUGAUGGCCUACCAAGGCGUCGACGGGUAGCCGGCCUGAGAGGGUGACCGGCCACACUGGGACUGAGAUACGGCCCAGACUCCUACGGGAGGCAGCAGUGGGGAAUAUUGCACAAUGGGCGCAAGCUUGAUGCAGCGACGCCGCGUGAGGGAUGACGGCUUUCGGGUUGUAAACCUCUUUCGAUGGGGAACAAGGCCAUAUUUUUGUGUGGUUGAGGGUACCUGUAGAAGAAGCGCCGGCUAACUACGUG